rnacentral:rRNA from 1 species
UGGGGAAUUUUGGACAAUGGGGGCAACCCUGAUCCAGCCAUGCCGCGUGCGGGAAGAAGGCCUUCGGGUUGUAAACCGCUUUUGGCCGGAAAGAAAAGCCGCCGGAUAAUACCCGGCGGUCUUGACGGUACCGGCAGAAUAAGCACCGGCUAACUACGUGCCAGCAGCCGCGGUAAUACGUAGGGUGCGAGCGUUAAUCGGAAUUACUGGGCGUAAAGCGUGCGCAGGCGGUUUGUUAAGUCCAUUGUGAAAGCCCCGGGCUCAACCUGGGAAUGGCGGUGGAAACUGGCAAGCUAGAGUGUGGCAGAGGGGGGUGGAAUUCCACGUGUAGCAGUGAAAUGCGUAGAGAUGUGGAGGAACACCGAUGGCGAAGGCAGCCCCCUGGGCUAACACUGACGCUCAGGCACGAAAGCGUGGGGAGCAAACAG